CAACGUUGGCUUCUGUUGAUCGCCGUCAGGAGAGACACCUUCGGAGCCACGCGCGCACACACACACGCACAAUCUUCCAUGGAUCUGGGAGGCUUUGCCUCUUUACACGAAAAACGAAAACAAAAGAAUCGAUAGGCAAUGCAAAACGCCCAUACAACUCCAUCACUCCCGCACGCCACGACUAUACAGAUUGAGGAAAACAUCGGCAACGGUCACUGGUUUUGGCUUCAUAAAAACAGCACAAAAAAAAAGAUUCACGGCACCGCCGCUGCAGCCUGGGCCCUGCAGCUCUAGCUCUCCCCCAUCGCGCCCAUCCGCCCCCUUCAUCGUUCGUCGCACACCUAGCAACCCCUGUUUUUGCAGUCUUGCCACAGCCGGCAUGUACAGAUGCACACGAGUGUACUGCGGCGUACUUGCCGUUCUUGUGGGAGAGCUCAAGAAGGUGCCGGCGUACGUCUUCUACAAGGCAAGGGAAGGCGCCAAGACGUAUGUCGACUCCGCAUCCAAAGCGAUUGAGUUUUUGAAAGGAGAGGACCCGAACGAGGACCCGGUCAUGCGUGGCAAGCGCCGCCAGCACAGAGAACUGUACCAGGCCGUCCUCCGCGAGCAAGCUUCAAAGGCGCAGGAGGAUGCGGCGCAAAGGCGCGCCAAUCUGUCAUGGAAAGAGAAGCUGCAGCUCUCCUUCAAGGAAGCGAGAGAAAGCGUGGCGCAGAUGACGUCGGCGAAGGCCGGAGUGAUGGCGCUGCUGCAGCACUGCACCGCCUCGCACACGGCCGAGGUGGCGCUGGAGCAAGGCAUCGAUGUCAAAAACGUGCAGAUGGUCUUUGAGAAGGCGGCGGCAAACAACUCGGUUGGCGUCGAAGAAAUUGUCGUUGGCUACAUCGAUGCACCAGGCGCCUCGCACGAGGAGGUGAUGGCGUUCGCCGAAAAGCUGCACAAGGUCUGCCCUGUGGCGAAAAGCAUGCAUAUCGAAUGGCGCCAAGGCAGCGCUGACUCGCGCAGGCACGAAGAUGGCUCCGUCCGCCGCGCCGAUGGGCUGCACUGUGAAAUGGAGCAGGCGGCCAGCGGUGUGGAGUGGGCUGAGAGGCGCACCGGCGGCCACCUCGGUGGUCCCUCUUCUGCCGCUGACGCCGCAUUGACGACAAGUGUCGAGAGUAUGCCGGCAGGGAUGCCAGGCUCCCGAAGGGCUCAUUCGUCGAUGUCGAGUUGGGCGGCCCGAGGCGGCGGCAGUGGCAGCCUGCGAGACGACGAAGACGAGCUGCAUUUUCCCGGCUUUGAGAGAAGGGGCGCAGCUUGGGAUUCCACGCGCUACGGCAGCAGCCGUGCCAAAGAGCCAUCAACGGAGACGAGCGCUGCUAGCUAUCCGCCACCGCCACCUGAAUCAACGUCUGCCGCGACGACACAGCCGGGGGCAUGUAGCAGCGACCCGGCUUCCUCCUCGCCGUCUCCGAAGCCCUGAAGCAGCUCUCAUCAAGCAACAAGGCGGGGAAAAGAGCGAAUGACAUGCGCGUCGGCACACCCAGUUGCAUUGUCGAGUCACAAGGCUUUUCUUUGUGCGUAUACGGUGUUUGGCUCGUGAUGUGCACAUAAACGUAUGUGUCGGUUGUGGUGGUGGUGGUUGUUUGUGUGUGUGGGUGUGUGUAUGUGUGCAGCGGGUGGCUCGCGCUCCUGAUCCCGCUGACCGGAACGACACAUGAAACGCAUGUCCCAACUUUUGUGUUCUUCGACGCUUUUGUGGUGGUAGUUGGCUUUGUCGCACCCCCUCUUCGCGCCUGGCCUACGCUACCUCUGUUCCUCGUUCCGGGUCGCAGUGUCCAUUCACAGAUGUGCCGAGCACACAUACAUACAG
rnacentral:misc_RNA from 1 species